ensembl:lncRNA PSMA3-AS1 PSMA3 antisense RNA 1
AGCUUGUCGGCGCCAUUUUGUCUCGGCAGCGGUGGCCGUAGCUCCAUCGCAUUUUAUGUUUCUGGCGAGAAGGGAACGGAGUUUUCAUCAGGUAGAUUGGUUUUUGUGCGGCCGUCCUCCACCGUUUCCUCCAGGACAGCACCUAGUCGUGGCCGGAGGAGUCUCAGAGCUGUCAGAAAGAAUAAGACUGAUUUUAUGGGAAAAUUAAGCAGAUGCUCCAGUUUGAGAAACCUGGAUCUGCGAUCUGUUUGUGAGUGGUAUUCAGUUAAGAGAACAAUUAUUUCGUAUAAGCCACAUCAGAGACGACUGAAGAUGAAAAAACUACCAUCCCCGUAUAUAACUAAUUUGUGCUGUGCACCAACAAGAACCUGCUUUAAAUUUCCAUGGCAAUUUACAACCCCCAUACUGUACCAGGCAAGGUACCAGCAUCAAGAUGAUUUAUGGUAAUAAGAUAUAAAACCAAGGAAAAUAACCUAAAGUCUGAAAAAGACCAGAAUCGAAGUUUCCUGAUUCAUAUUUUAAUGUUUUGAAAUUUAUACUCCAGGCUGGGUGCAGUGGCUUGUGCCUGUAAUCCCAGCACUUUGGGAGGCCGAGGCGGCCGGAUUGCCUGAAGUCAGAAGUUCGAGACCAGCCUGACCAACAUGGUGAAACCCUGUCUCUACUUAAAAAUACAAAAGAGCUGGGCAUGGAGGUGGUGCGCGCCUGUAACCCUAGCUACUCGGGAGGCUGAGGCCUAAGAAU